rfam:Cavia porcellus supercont2_207 genomic scaffold, whole genome shotgun sequence.
UGGUACCCCAAUGCAGGGUUCAAUAAUGAAGGAUCCAGUGAGGGACAUUUUUUGGAAGGCCGGCACAAAGACAGGGUGGAGAAAAGCCUUCAAACAGAGGAAAAGACUAUCUGGGAGCUUGCUGUAGUUUCUAAAACUUGGUGAGUGACCAGUGAUUAUGGGAAAAGUAUUUAGUCAACAUGAGAUAUUUAUUGAAAGUUUAGGAAUGGUUCUAAAGGCAUGAGGAGUAAAGGUUAAAAUUAAGCAAUUGUGUCAAUAUUUUGAUUUUAUAAAAGAACUCUGUCCUU